UGUUUAGUCAUCAUGUCUCCUUAGGCCCUUCUUGAUUAUGACAGUUUCUCAGAUUUUCCUUGUUUUUUUAUUUUUUAUUUUUUUUGAGGAAGAUUAGCCCUGAGCUAACAUCCACUGCCAAUCAUCCACUUUUUGCUGAGGAAGACUGGCCUUGAGCCAACAUCUGUUCCCAUCUUCCUCUACUUUAUAUGUAGGAUGCCUGCCACAGCAUGGCUUGCCAUGUGGUGCAUACGUCCGCACCUGGGAUCCAAACAGGUGAAGCCCGGGCUGCUGAAGCAGACAGAAUGUGUGAACUUAACCACUGCACUACCAGGGAGCCUCAAAACCUCUCCAGAUGGAAUGUAACACCCAGUAUAUCUUGGAAACAGAAUUUGUAUUGGGGCACCAUCUCUGAAGCAAGAAAGAGAACACACCAUCCUCACUGAAGCAUGCCAAUUCCAAGGCUGAUUCUCAUUCCAAAUUGAGUUGUUUUGCCUUUCUUAGCUUUCCUUUGAAUCUGUUUCCAAGCUAUAAUCUGUAGACAACUGUUCGCCCAUGUACCUGUGGUUAGGGCAUUGUGCGACAGCUUUGCCUUUAUUCCACAUUAAACGUAAAAAUUACUUUAAUGCAGCAUGGAAGUAAAAAUGCUGUAGGCACUCCAGAAAAUAAAAGCCAGAAAUUUCUAACAUAAUGGUCCCGCAGAAGAAAAAUCUCAGCUUCAUUGUAUAUCCUAUGCAUAUCAAAAU
rnacentral:lncRNA from 1 species